UACGAAGGGGGCUAGCGUUGUUCGGAAUUACUGGGCGUAAAGCGCACGUAGGCGGAUAUUUAAGUCAGGGGUGAAAUCCCAGAGCUCAACUCUGGAACUGCCUUUGAUACUGGGUAUCUGGAGUAUGGAAGAGGAGAGUGGAAUUCCCGGUGUAGCGGUGAAAUGCGCAGAUAUCGGGAAGAACACCCGUGGCGAAGGCGGCUCUCUGGGACGGUACUGACGCUGAGACGCGAAAGCGUGGGGAGCGAACAGG
rnacentral:rRNA from 1 species